rnacentral:rRNA from 1 species
AUUGAACGCUGGCGGCAUGCCUUACACAUGCAAGUCGAACGGCAGCACGGGGGCAACCCUGGUGGCGAGUGGCGAACGGGUGAGUAAUAUAUCGGAACGUACCCUGGAGUGGGGGAUAACGCAGCGAAAGUUGCGCUAAUACCGCAUACGAUCUAAGGAUGAAAGUGGGGGCUUCGCAAGAACCUCAUGCUCCUGGAGCGGCCGAUAUCUGAUUAGCUAGUUGGAGGGUAAAGACCUACCAAGGCAUCGAUCAGUAGCUGGUCUGAGAGGACGACCAGCCACACUGGGACUGAGACACGGCCCAGACUCCUACGGGAGGCAGCAGGUGGGGAAUUUUGGACAAUGGGGGCAACCCUGAUCCAGCAAUGCCGCGUGAGUGAAGAAGG